UUCUCUAAAUAAUUUUUUUUGAAUAAUUAGAAUAUUUAAUCAAUUUAUGUUCGGGUUUGGUACUAUAUUUUUGGAUCGGUAUCGGUUAUGUUCAUCGGAUUCAUUUUUUCAAAUCCUAAUAAUUACAUGAAAAACAAAUAUCAACAUAUUUUUUAAAAUAUACACCCGCGCAGGCGCGCGGGUCAAAGUCUAGUACUUCAUUAUAAACAAACAAUCCUAACUAUAACCGUAAAAAAAAACCCAACCCAAAAUAGAUUUUGUUGAAUUUGAUCACUCAUGAAUCUUGAUAUCAUCUCAUCCUCUACGUUGUUAUACUUGUAUUUAUACAUGGAUGUUUUGCUAUAUAAAUGAGUCAAUACAAAUAGUGAAAUUACAAUUUUUCUGUUUUUAGUACCCAAGUGUAUCACAAAACAUACAAUUAUUAAAGUUUGUAUUUCAAGCGGUAUAUACACAAUACACAAUAACAUACAUGUAAUGAUAAUAGUGAAAUUUCAAAGAAAAAACUGUGGGGCGAAGGUGAUACGGUUGGUCAUCAAAGGUGAGGAGGUGGUGGAAGAUCCGGCGGAGAAAGAAGGCGACGUCCGGAGAGCUGUCGUGAUCGCUGAGGCUAGGCUCAUCAGCACGAAGAUGAGCUCUUCAAGUAUGCUCAGCGUCUUCCUCAUCAUCGAAAUUCUGUGUGUUUCUCAAACUUGAGAUUCAGAAGUUUAUGAGAGAGAGAGAAAAGGCAGGUGUGAUCUCUUCAGCUCACUUUUGAUUUGGCCCUUGAUGUUAUUCAAACAUAUGAACUGUUCGCUUUAUGUUCAUGUCCUUUAAUGAUUAUUUAAUGGGACAAUUGCAAAUUAAAAAGUAGUGGAAGGAUGCAAUCACGGUAAAAAAAAGCCACAACACACAGUCAACAAGUCAAGGUUGACAGAGUUUAUGGAUUUAAUUAUAGACAACUCGCGCAAUGACGUAACUACUUAGCUCAUAAAAACACAUUCAUGAAUCAUUUAGUAGUAACUCUGUCUCGUUACUCUGUACUGAAACUACAAGUCACAAAGAAAUUAUAGUAAACUCGGAUGUAAAGGAUCAUACACUAGUAAUUAGACUAAUUACUAAUUAUACCUAUUACCUAUAUAUAACCAUGUUUGUCAUGGUCGAUCUACUACUUGUGAUGAACAUUUUAAAUCUUUGCAAAAGUUCAUUCAAAUUUUAAAACUCAAAUGAUGCAACAGAAGUUCAAGAAACGGCACCAAGACACGCGUUUUAAACUUCAAUCACAAUAUGAAAACAGGAUGUGUAGCUCUGGUUUUGUGUUUGAACAUUACUGUUGAUCCGCCUGAUGUUAUAAAGAUAUCUCCGUGUGCUAGAAUCGAGGCUUGGAUAGGUUGAACCAUUUUCCCAACCCAACCCUAUUGCAUUCUUUCUUUUGUGUGUUUAUCUUUUUUUUUCCAAUUUGUUUCAUGUGUAAAAAAAUGGUAAAGGUCAUGGUGGGAAAAAAAAGUUAGCAUUCAUUGAUAUUAUCACAAAGGAUAGUACAUUAAAAAAGUUGUGUGAUGUUUUCACUUGUAUGUUGUAUUUUGUUCAAGUUAAUCUCAAUCAGUUUGCAUUUUCA